CCUACGGGCGGCAGCAGUGGGGGAUAUUGCACAAUGGGGGAAACCCUGAUGCAGCGACGCCGCGUGUGGGAAGACGGUCCUCUGGAUUGUAAACCACUGUCCCCAGGGACGAAGAUGACGGUACCUGGGGAGGAAGCUCCGGCUAACUACGUGCCAGCAGCCGCGGUAAUACGUAGGGGGCAAGCGUUAUCCGGAUUUACUGGGUGUAAAGGGAGCGUAGACGGCUUGGCAAGCCAGAUGUGAAAGGCUGGGGCUCAACCCCAGGACUGCAUUUGGAACUGUCAUGCUAGAGUGUCGGAGAGGCAGGCGGAAUUCCUAGUGUAGCGGUGAAAUGCGUAGAUAUUAGGAGGAACACCAGUGGCGAAGGCGGCCUGCUGGACGAUGACUGACGUUGAGGCUCGAAAGCGUGGGGAGCAAACAGGAUUAGAUACCCCUGUAGUC
rnacentral:rRNA from 1 species